AUUUUUUCAUUUGAAAUUACUUUGUUUCGUAAUGUAAAACUCUCUGUAGAGGAAUGUAAUAUUCGCCAGUGAUCAAUCAGUUACAUCAUAUGAAUAAAGGGGAGCUUCAAACUUAACAUAUUCAAAUAUUUUCUAUAUCUUUAUUUUGACGUGAGAUCAAUCAAGAUUGUAAAUCGAAUUCGGAUUAUACGCAUUAAUCAUUUUCGAAAGAAUCAUUGAAAGAACACGUACAAAUUGACAUAGACAGUACCAAGUUUGGCACCGUAGCUUGUUAAAGUCACUCAUAUGACAUAUAGAAAUCAUUUUUAAUCCUACGUUAUUAAUUUAUGUAACUCGUAUUCAAUAAUUAUGAAUUAAGGAAUUAAUCGAUCGAGAGCUAACUCCUGAGCAAAGUACCAGAUAACUAAUGGAUGAUUUUAAAUCAAGAACAUCGAGGAAUAAAAAUAACCAUUCUUCGCGUGUCUGAUUAGAGCCGUAAAAAAUGUGCCUUGGCUCUUCGUAACUAGACGUAGGCGGGCUACAAACAAGCAUGUUUCAACCUUCGAAGAAAUUCAGGACAUCAAUACAAGAUUUGUUAAUAGAUGACUUGAAUGUACGACAUAUCACUAUUGCUAGAUAAGCAGAAACAAAUUAAAGAAAAAAAAAAAGAAAAAAGAGAUAAAAAAAAAGAGAAAAAACGCAAGAAAUAUUAAAAAUAACAUAAAUCAAUUAAGCCCAACUCGUAUGUACCGUACGUAGGCUUGGUUGGCCAAGUUUAGCCAUGAGCAACCCCCGAUGAAAGAGUUUCGAGAGCUCGCCGACGCAUUUUGCGGCGGCAUGUCGCUGACUUGGUCUGCUCUAAACUCGUUCGACGACAACGACGACGACAAGAAGGAGGGACGUGCGUAAUAAUACUCGUAUUAUCUCUCCGAUAAAAUGAUUACUUGAUCGUAAGAAUAAUCGAUGACAUUCUUUGGGAUAUCAAAAUUCAAUCGUUAAGUGCGUUCAUAUCGGAAAAGAAAAGUUAUCAUUUCUUCACCCGUUCUACGUUCAAUACGUAUUAAGAAGGAAAAAAAUUAUUCAUGAAAAACAAUCAUCGAACGAUAUUCCAAUAAAGUAACUCAGGCUGAUUAUAUCGUGCAGGUAAACAUAUGGUACAGCUUAACCGCGGUUUAAACUGCACUCGUACGAAACCUCGCUCGUGAGUUGUAGGUCAGAUCCAGUCGCGCGAGCGUGUAAUUCAGACAUUAUGCUGGACGGAAUCGCUGUACAAUGCCUUCGGUUUCGUGUUACGAGGUAAAAGAAGGAAAAAGAGAGAGAGAGAAAGAGAGAGAGAAAUCCACCUUACACUAUACCUGCUAGAUGUUUCGCAAUACAUACGACUGAAUCUAAGUGGCGGAGCGUCCUCGUUGAAAGCUCUCAACUGAGGAAAACUUCAGAAGGAUCAGCGAAAGACGACGAGAGGAAGGAUGACAUCAUCGAUGCCGAAACAUCAUAUUAUUCGUUUCCGAUCAAAAAUCUUCCGUGUAGAACGAAUAACAAUAACGAAUUCGAGGUAAGUUAAGUAGAGAAAACCAAAUCGACUUGCGACGCUUCGAAAAUUCCUCCCGUAAAAUCUCUUCGAUCGACGUUGCUAUUUCUGACUGUUCCCCGCGUACCAGAUCCCCCGGAGAUCCUCUAUCCUUUCUUUCAUCGCGACUCUUUGCUCAAAAAUUAAAAUUAUUUAAAGUGUGAUAACACUUGUCAAGACAGUCGGUGACUCUUAAACUCGGCUCUUUCGCGAAACUUUAACGAUCUAUAUAUUGCGAUGGUAAUUGUUGCGAUCAGAUAAAUGCGAAAUUCGUUUGAACAACAGAACAAAUAAACGAGAAAUUUUAUUUGCAAUUUUCUCCUUUCUUCAAAUUUUGACGCAAUGGAUUUCGCGAAGAAUCCGUGUCUUCUUUUUUAAUUCUCGAAAAAAAAUGAAAAAAUAAAUAAAUAAGAUAAACAUCUUUAAACAAUCGAUAUAUAACUUGUUCUCCUUCGUUUAUUCUUAGAUCGGCGAGUCAACAUUUCCCUCCGCACUUCCGAUUUACCUUGCCGUCUAUUUUCAUACCUUCCGUUCAGAAUUCGUCUACUCUUCGGAGAAAAUUUAUAUCCAAAAUAAUCCGACUAUGUUUAUUCGCCUUUAUAUCAUAUAAAUUACAUUUGCCAUGCAAAAAAAAUGAUACGGCUGUUAUUUUAAUAAUGUUUGCUUUAAUAAUGUUGUUUUAUCGCAUACAAAAUAUACUGUGUCACUUUUGUUGCAAUCGAACGAAUAAUUAAAUUAAAUAAUACCUAGUGCAAGUAUAUAAGUACGUGCAAUAGGUUACCCAUUACCAUCAAUGAUAAGUUAGUAAUCUCCAGAUGUUAGUAAUGAUUCAUAGUCUCGAUUUUGAUGAUGUUCAAUGAUUAUCGUUUAUUAUAUAUAUGAUCGUUCGUGCAUAUUUAAUUAAAACUAUAUUAUCUACAGAAAAUUAUUCUACAUAUUCCCAAAACGUUCAACUAAUUUGCUAUUUUUAACUUUCGAUAAAUCGUACCUUAUCGCUUUUUUCAAUUAUGUACAUGCAAGACAUACGAAUAUCCAUCGCAGACAUAACUACGUAAGUACAUGGUUUAUGAUUUUUUUUUUACGGAAAGAGCGACAGCAGGGCGGGAAAGAGAAAAAUAAAUGGUUACACCAUAAAACCCAGCUUUUAUAUUGCAGAGGAAGCACACGUUUAUUUACACAGUAUAUCAUAGCGUUGACGAUGAUAAGAACAUUAACAAUGAUCUGUUUGUGUUUUCGCGAAUGCGUUAUAACAAUCUCGUGUUUCGCCUUCGCCAUAAAUUCAUUUAUAUAUUUAAUCUGAAGAAAUUAAUGAAUAUAUCAUGGAAACACCAAAAAAUUAAAAACAUGUGGAACGCAACACAUGUCGAUCCUCAAUCAACCGAUUCAUUCUUAUUUAUGCAAGAAAAUAACAAAUAGUAGUAGUCUUAUCGUUCGUCUAGAUUUUAAGUAACAAAAUGUGACUAGCAUUUUUAUUUUCGAACAAAAGACUCACUUAGAUAAAUAAAUAGAUUUGCUUAAUGAUUUAAGAGAUGUAAAUGAACGCUUUUUCAGAAUCUUCUCUCUUUUUCUUUUUCUUUUUUUUUCUUUUUUCUUUUUUACUUUUUUUUUUUUUUUUUGAAUCCUUGAUCGUUUUCUCCUUCUCAUUUCAUCUUACAAAUAUAGAAAUAUGCUCGUAGAAUUUCUUUAAAAGGAUCUUUUUCAUACAUAUGUAUUACUGUGUAAGUUUGUCGAUCUCACGAGAGUAUAAGAUAAUUUUUCAAGAAAAGUAAAAACAAAAAAAAACUAUAAUUCUAAUCCAUGAUAGGAUGGAUGAAAAAAGUUAGGAAAACGAUCAUGUGCUAAAGAGAAAGUAAUAAAGAACUGAGAAAGUAACAAAGAGAGAUAGAGAGAUAGAAAGAGAGGGAGAGAGAAAUAAAGAAA